rnacentral:rRNA from 1 species
AGUGAACGCUGGCGGUAGGCCUAACACAUGCAAGUCGAACGGCAGCACAGUAAGAGCUUGCUCUUACGGGCGGCGAGUGGCGGACGGGUGAGGAAUACAUCGGAAUCUACUUUUUCGUGGGGUAUAACCUAGGGAAACUUACGCUAAUACCGCAUACGACCUACGGGUGAAAGCAUGGGAUCUUCGGACCUUUCGCGAUUGAAUGAGCCGAUGUCGGAUUAGCUAGUUGGCGGGGUAAAGGCCCACCAAGGCGACGAUCCGUAGCUGGUCUGAGAGGAUGAUCAGCCACACUGGAACUGAGACACGGUCCAGACACCUACGGGAGGCAGCAGUGGGGAAUAUUGGACAAUGGGCGAAAGCAUGAUACAGCAAUACCGCGUGGGUGAAGAAGGACUUCGGGUUGUAAAGCCCUUUUGUUGGGAAAGAAAAGAAGCAGGUUAAUACCCAGCUGUUCUGACGGUACCAAAAGAAUAAGCACCGGCUAACUUCGUG